rnacentral:rRNA from 1 species
GAUGAACGCUGGCGGCGUGCCUAAUACAUGCAAGUCGAGCGAAGCGGGGACGGGUGAGUAACACGUGGAUAACCUCCUAUAAGACUGGGAUAACUUCGGGAAACCGGAGCUAAACCGGAUACUUAUAGUUGGAUCCGCGCUGCAUUAGCUAGUUGGUAAGGUAACGGCUUACCAAGGCAACGAUGCAUAGCCGACCUGUGAGGGUGAUCGUCCACACUGGUGCUGAGACACGGUCCAGAUGCCUACGGGAGGCGGCCGUAGGAAGUCUUCCGCGAUGAGCGAAAGCCUAACGGCGCAACGCGGGGUUGGGGAUAACGUUCUUCGGAUCUUAACACUCGGUGAUUAGGGAGGCGGAACAUAUUCGGAAAGCCACGGCUAACUACGUGCCAGCAGCCGCGGUAAUGC